GACGAACGCUGGCGGCGUGCCUAAUACAUGCAAGUAGAACGCUGAAGGAGGAGCUUGCUUCUCCGGAUGAGUUGCGAACGGGUGAGUAACGCGUAGGUAACCUGCCUGGUAGCGGGGGAUAACUAUUGGAAACGAUAGCUAAUACCGCAUAACAGUAGAUGUUGCAUGACAUUUGCUUAAAAGGUGCAAUUGCAUCACUACCAGAUGGACCUGCGUUGUAUUAGCUAGUUGGUGAGGUAACGGCUCACCAAGGCGACGAUACAUAGCCGACCUGAGAGGGUGAUCGGCCACACUGGGACUGAGACACGGCCCAGACUCCUACGGGAGGCAGCAGUAGGGAAUCUUCGGCAAUGGACGGAAGUCUGACCGAGCAACGCCGCGUGAGUGAAGAAGGUUUUCGGAUCGUAAGCUCUGUUGUAAGAGAAGAACGAGUGUGAGAGUGGAAAGUUCACACUGUGACGGUAUCUUACCAGAAAGGGACGGCUAACUACGUG
rnacentral:rRNA from 1 species